rnacentral:rRNA from 1 species
CCUACGGGUGGCUGCAGUAGGGAAUAUUGGUCAAUGGGUGAGAGCCUGAACCAGCCAUGCCGCGUGCAGGAAGACGGCCUUCUGGGUUGUAAACUGCUUUUAUCUGGGGAUAAAAAUGCCUUGCGAGGCACAUUGAAGGUACCAGAUGAAUAAGCACCGGCUAACUACUUGCCAGCAGCCGCGGUAAUACGUAGGUUGCAAGCGUUGACCGGGUUUAAUGGGUUCGUAGGGGGUCUAGGCAGUCAGUGGUGAAAUCCAACAGCUCAACUGUUGAUGUGCCAAUGAUACUGAUGGACUUGAGUACAGACGAGGUAGGCGGAAUUGACAGUGUAGCGGUGAAAUGCAUAGAUAUUGUCAAGAACACCGAUAGCGAAGGCAGCUUGCUAGCCUGUAACUGACGCUGAGGCACGAAAGUAUGGGGAUCAAACAGGAUUAGAUACCCUGGUAGUC